UGGUGGGUAGUUUGACUGGGGCGGUCUCCUCCUAAAGAGUAACGGAGGAGCACGAAGGUUGGCUAAUCCUGGUCGGACAUCAGGAGGUUAGUGCAAUGGCAUAAGCCAGCUUGACUGCGAGCGUGACGGCGCGAGCAGGUGCGAAAGCAGGUCAUAGUGAUCCGGUGGUUCUGAAUGGAAGGGCCAUCGCUCAACGGAUAAAAGGUACUCCGGGGAUAACAGGCUGAUACCGCCCAAGAGUUCAUAUCGACGGCGGUGUUUGGCACCUCGAUGUCGGCUCAUCACAUCCUGGGGCUGAAGUAGGUCCCAAGGGUAUGGCUGUUCGCCAUUUAAAGUGGUACGCGAGCUGGGUUUAGAACGUCGUGAGACAGUUCGGUCCCUAUCUGCCGUGGGCGCUGGAGAACUGAGGGGGGCUGCUCCUAGUACGAGAGGACCGGAGUGGACGCAUCACUGGUGUUCGGGUUGUCAUGCCAAUGGCACUGCCCGGUAGCUAAAUGCGGAAGAGAUAAGUGCUGAAAGCAUCUAAGCACGAAACUUGCCCCGAGAUGAGUUCUCCCUGACUCCUUGAGAGUCCUGAAGGAACGUUGAAGACGACGACGUUGAUAGGCCGGGUGUGUAAGCGCAGCGAUGCGUUGAGCUAACCGGUACUAAUGAACCGUGAGACUUAACCUUACAACGCCGAAGGUGUUU
rnacentral:rRNA from 1 species